rnacentral:lncRNA from 1 species
CAUUUACAAUCAUAUUGUCGAUUUUAUGUUACUAGAUGAAUGAUUUUCAAAAGAAAUUAAUAUACGAGAAGACAUGAUUCUCUCGAAUAAAAGAAUGCACAAUAAUACAGUAAUACCGUUCAGGUAAGUGUAUAAAUCUGCCAUUUUAGAAAUUCAUCAAACAUAUUUUAAUUCUAUUUUUUCCAAAUAUUUAGUCAAUUUUACGACACUACAAGCCAUUAUCAUCAAAGUGGUUUCACAAACAAUUUUUCGGACAUGCCUGUACCAUGUUAGGAAUGUGGUUACAUUGGUUGAUAUAGUCGAAUGUUCGGUUUUGUUAGGUUUCGUGAACUCUGACUUAUUGAAUUUAUCUUGAGUUUGGUAUUAAUUUUUAAUAUAUUUUUAAUCACUAAAUAUCUAACUUGUUUCACAUCUUCUUGUAAAAACGGUCUGUACUAUGCACAAAGAAGGGUAUUUUGGGGAAUUUUGGACCUCAAUGCUCUUCAGCUUCGUCAUUUACUUGGCCUUUUUAACUUUUCGAGUGUCACUGAUGAGUCUUUUGUAGACGAAACGGGCGUCAGGCGUAAAUACAAAAUUUAAUCCUGGUAUCUAUGAUGAGUUUAUAUAGUACAGAUGUAUAUUUCUAUAGUAUGUAUGGUGCAAUUAAAUGGAAAUUAGUAUAAAAAGAAACAAACUGCACAAAACAAUCUGAUGUGUAAAAUCCCAUUUAGAUACAUGAGUGCAUGAGUAUGAUAUGAACAAAUUAUUAUUUCUUUUUUAAGUAUAACUGAUAAUUUUGUUUAAAUAUACUGAAGAGUUAUAAAUGAUUUAAAAGGAAUAUGCAUUAUAUAAGUCGUGACGUCAUCAUUUGCUUUUAAAAAACCGAAUUCAUUGUGCAGUUCAAGUGGAAAACCGGAAGAACGCCAUUUGCUUCUUAGACAAUCACAAAAAUUACAGGAACAAGUUAUAUACUUUCAUCACUCAAACAUUAACCGAUUUAUUAUUUUUUGCGUUUUUAUUUAGUAUUGAGGAGGAAUUUUGUAUUUAUGUUGUUAUAACUUGUGUAUAAUCUAUUUUGAUUCCCUUUUUAGCUCACCUGACCCAAAAGGGCAAGUGAGCUUUUCUCAUCCCUUGGCGUCCGUCGUCCGUAGUCGUCCGUCGUCAUCGUUCACUUUUACAAAAAUAUUCUCCUCUGAAACUACUAGGUCAAAUUUAAUAAAACUUGGCCACAAUCAUGAUUGGGGUAUCUAGUUUAAAAAAUGUUUCCGGUGACCCGGCCAACCAACCAAGAUGGCCGCUAUUGCUAAAAAUAAAACAUAGGUGUAAAAUGUAGAUUUUGGCAAAUAACUCUAUAACCAAAGCAUUUAGAGCAAAUCUGACAGGGUAAAAUUGUUUAUCAAGUAAGGAUCUAUCUGCUCUGAAAUUUUCAGAUAAAUCGGACAACUGGUUGUUGGGUUACUACCCCUGAAUAGGUAAUUUUAAAGAAAUUGUGUCGUUUUUGGUUUUUAUCUUGAAUAUAGAUAGAGAUGAACUGUAAACAGCAAUAAUGUUCAGCAAAAUAAGAUCUACAAAUAACUCAACAUGACCAAAAUGGUCAGUUGACCCCUUAAGAAGUUGUUGCCCUUUAUAGCCAUUUUUAUGCCCCACCUACGAUAGUAGAGGGGCAUUAUGUGUUUUCUGGUCUGUGCGUCCGUUCGUCCGUCCGUCUGUCUGUUCGUCCGUCUGUCCCGCUUCAGGUUAAAGUUUUUGGUCAAGGUAGUUUUUGAUGAAGUUGAAGUCCAAUCAACUUGAAACUUAGUACACAUGUUCCUUAUGAUAUUAUCUUUCUAAUUUUAAAGCCAAAUUAAACUUUUGACCCCAAUUUCAUGGUCCACUGAACAUAGAAAAUGACAGUGCAUGUUUCAGGUUAAAGUUUUUGGUCAAGGUAGUUACACAUGUUCUCUAUGAUAUUAUCUUUCUAAUUUUAAUGCCUCAUUAUAUUUUUUAUCCAAUUUCAUGGUCCAUUGAACAUGGAAAAUAAUAGUGCGAGUGGGGCAUCCGUGUACUUUGGACACAUUCUUGUUUCACCAAUUUUUCAUUAAUUUUUGUAAUCUUUUACAAAAAUCAUCUCCUCUGAAACUACAGGGCCAAAUUCAACCACAUUUAUCAUUGGGGUAUCUAGUUUAAAAAAAAUGUGUGCGGUGACCCAGCCUACCAUACCAUUUUUCACACCAGUAUUUCUUACUUACAAGUGAAAUCAAAAGUAAAAAAUAUAUGAAUUUCAGAUUUUAAAGAAAACGUGAUAGUAUAUAUUAAAUAAUAUGUUGUCUUUUUUAAACUCAAUUUAUUUCAAACUGAUUUAAUUACAUGCUGAAACUUUAAAAAUACCUUUAGAAAGAAGUAAUGACUGAUAUAAAUAUCUUUUUGAUGAAAUAUGCAAUUUGAACAUAUGUAUAACCUAGACAAAGGUAACAAUAGUUAUUCAAUUGAAACGACUAAAUAACAAAUUACAAAGAUGUCAUAUACAUUUAGUGUAUGAUUUUUUCUUUAAUUUUAAUAUUUUAAUUGAAGAAUAUCUCUCAAAACGUAUAUAGGGUUUAGCAUUUACAUAAUUUGAUAAAUUAUGUUUUGUAGUGUCAUAUAAAGUGAGAUGAAUGAAACUCUAUUUUUGGUGGUUGCUGUCUGCAUCAGAGGUUUGUCACUCAUUAACAUAAUAACUAUUUAUAGUCGUUUUUGUUAUCUUCAACACAAAAUACCUUCAAAAGCUAACAGGCGUUAUUAUACAAUGACAAUGCAAAAUAGCAAACAUGUUUUGUGCAAACAAAUAAAACGAAUUAAAUAAAACAAAAUCCAGACAAAUUGAUCAAAUUAUACCUAAUGAUAAUAACGUUUUCCCAUUGUUCUAUCAAAGUAAAAUGACAUAGAUUUUUAAAAUAACUAACACUAUAUUACAUUUAACGUACGCUUGACGUAAAUAUUACAAAUUAUUUAUAUAUAAUUCUGGUCUGUGAAUUAAUAUGUCAUUCAAAAUAAAUAUUUUAAUAAAAGUCUAUACACUCUUAACAACAUUUACCACUGUUACAAAAGAAAUUACUUCAAAUACUUCUUUAAUAAGGAGUAAUUGGAUGUGUCAAACUUAUUGAGCUUUGGCAUGAUUAAAUCUUGAAUAUAUUAAGAAAUCUAUUUAAAAUAACAAUAUCAGUAACUCCUUGUAAAUCCUAAACAGCUCAUUUUAAGUUGUACUUUUAAGUAAUUUUUAAAUAAGCUGGUAAUUUAAAGUAUCUGAGUUAAAAGUUUAUAGUUAACGAAAGUAAUGUACAAGUACUAAUUAUAAAUAAUUACAAGCAUUUUAUACGUAAUAAUGAGUAAUAAAUAGUAUAUGUAAUAAUCAUACAAGUAAUUGAAAAUCGUGAUGCAAACUUAUGCAAAGUGAAAACAUAAUUAGUCAUUCACUACUUGAGUUGAAUAUAAGUCAAUACAUGAUUUAGACAUUUGAGACAUUUUUAUGUUUUCAACACUAAUUUGUAGGUGUAGAUGUUUGUAAUAUUAAAAUGUGUCUCACAUGGACAGUUCAAAAAGACCACCUUGACCUGACGUGUAGAGUCAACUAUCUCAAGUAUAGUGUGGAAUUUUACAACAAUAACAACAACGAACAAGGAUACUGUUUAUCUCCUUUACCAUCAACAAAAUGUAUACCAAAGUAUCCCAAUACCGUGAUGAGGCAAAAUGCUACAACGAACGUAACAUACUUAAAGAUACUAGGCCAUAUAGAUAGUCAUUUCAAUGGGAAAUGGGAGUGCAGACACGGAACUAAUAGAGACAAUGCAUUUGUCAACAUUACAGUUUUACAAGCAGGUGAUAGCUACAGUUAUUGGUCCGAUUCUUUAUUAAACAAUUGACAGUCUUUUCUCCUCAUUCAUAUUUGGAUUCAGGAAAAUCUCCCGGUCUAAGAUUUUUUUUCAUGUUUCAAAUCAUAUUUCAUCUAUGACAAAUACAAAUACUCCAUAGUUAAUGGUAACUUUUCUUUAUAUUUUGUCUGGUUUUUUUUACGAACAGUAGCAAAGUUGUAACAAUAACAAUAAAAGCAGUGUUUUUAUUGACAACUAUACCAAAGACAAGUAUUCGGUUUAGUAAAAGCUUGCGUUUGAAAACAUAAAACUUAAAUUUACACGACAUCUUGUAAAAUGUCUAUAAAUUAUAAGAUAACAAAAGGGUUCGUAGAAGCAAUAAAAUACAGUUUUUUUUUAGUUUUGUACAUAUCAAUAUAACUGUAUAAUUAGCUGUAUUGAUGUACAUGUAUGGUGUUAUAACUCAAUAAUCUAAACUACUAUUCUAGAUAUAAAACCACUGAUUCAUAGUCCCAUUGCUUUUUAUGUUCAAUUUUGCAAUUUCAAGCAAAAAGUAAAAUCACAAAAAUACUGAACUCAGAGGAAAAUCAAUUCGGAAAAUUCAUAAUCUCUGGCAAAAUCAAAUAACAAAACGCAUCAAAAACGAAUGGACAAGAACUCAUACUGUGUUUCAAUUCUAAAAAAACGUUGCAGUCAUUUCAUGUCAAUUCAAUACCUUAUCCUGACUUAUGCUUAAAUAUUCAUCCUAACAUGAAAAUGGGGAAUAUGUCAAAGAGACCACAACCCGACCAGAGAGCAGACAACAGCCAAAAAUAAUGCACUACUGGGUCUUCAAUGCACGAUUUUGCUUUCUUUUUAUCUAUACCUAUAUGCAUGUUUAUAUCGCUUUCUAUGACCCUUGGAGGUCUUCAGAGGUCAAGUCGAUAAAUAACUGGAUGGCGUCAAGACUUAUAUACACAUAAAACGAAGCUACAUAUUAUCGAGUCCAUGCCCUGUGAAUUGCUUACUUUAGACUUUUUAUGAUUUUGACAAAUGUGUUACAUGUUUAUGAAUUCGUUAUGGGAAUAUGAGUCAAAUCGGUAAAACGAAUUUGACAGCUAGUGCCCUUUUAACGUUUGCUUCUUGAUUUGUGAAAUCUAUUUAUAUGUUUCAGACAACAAGAUAACUGAACCAAAGGGUAGGCAUUUUUAUAACUUUGAAAUAUUUCUUUGGAACAAAAUUAUGUUUUGAUUAUAUGUGUUUCGUUUCAUUUUUGAACAUCUGCAUUAUAUAUAUAAUUAGUAAAUAUAUCGUUUAUUAGUUUCAAGAAGCGCUUUCUCAUCUGUUUUACCUAAAUAUCGGGUCUUUCAAAACAAAAACUUUUACUCAUAAUUGUACAUUUAAAAUGUCAGUUGUCCCCUUUAGUUUACAUGCAUCGUUAAGAAAAGAAUAAAAGAGUAUCAUUCGAAAAUCAGGUUGCAUAAGGUGUAUUUAUCAUUUAUAUUACACUUUUUAAAUUCCAUUAACAGUACAGAAAAAAAGAAGGAAAUCGUAUCACAUUUAUGAUUAGCAUGCCUUUUAUAACUUUUAUGAUUUCAUUCUGUUUUUCUUUUCUUUUUUGCUAUUAUCACAUAAUUAUUCUUAAUUUAUCAUGAUUUGUAAUUAUGCAUGGACACGACUUAGAUCAACAGUGGUUUAAAUAAAAAUCGUUUUAUUUUGACAGUAAAAACACCAAUUACAGGUAAAUAAUGUUUAAAAUAUUAGUUUUAUUUAAUUAAGUGAUUUGCUCAUGGUAAUAAAUGUUUAAGCUACAUUAAUAUUCAUGCGUAAUGAUAAAAAAAAAUUAAGAAUGUGUCUACAAUCUCAAAUUUCAUAUCUUAUCACAAAAACUACUUUCUACAAUCGCGUGGAUCUCAAACACGUUGCUUGUUGCUGCAUCCACACAAAAAAACCUCAAAUAUUUGAGGACAAUAGAUGUAUAAAUACCUGAAAUCUUUGUAUUUGAAGGACAUCUUCCAAUCCGGCAGUUGGAUUUUUUAAAUCUCUUACUUCGGGGAGUAUUAGUCCUCAAGCACAAAUAUAGAUCUAAUGCUAAGAAAUGAAAAUAAGACUCUGUAAAUUGGGUUAAGCCGAAGCGCUUCAUAAUUUAACGGUAAUGCUGAACGCUCUAAAAUAGAUAUUCGAACACCAGUGAUGAAUAAACGAAAGAAAUUUUUAAGAAAAACAUUUAGCUUCAAAGAAUAGUUACAGUCUUAACUACACUACCAUAAUAACAAACACAAAGCAAUGCAUUUAGCCGUGCAGACUAACAUAGCCGGCGUUUAAUGUAUUUUUUUUAUAUUAUAAAUACAUAUAUGAAAUACAAAUAAAUUCCAAAUGAGGUACACAGAAAGAAUAAACGUCUGAAACAAGUUUACUUUGAAUCAACAAUAGCCCAUAUCUCUAUCUAUGUAUGUAUGUAUAUAUAUCCGUCUUUAACGUAACCUCGCCGCCCAAGAAAAACCACCAAUACUUUACUCAAGAAAAUUGAUAGGGAAACCUAUGUUCGGAGCAAACAGACAAUAGAUGUAUAAAUACCUGAAAUCUUUGUAUUUACAAAUGGUUGCUACAAAGAGUACCCAAAAUAUUUGAAGGACAUCUUCCAAUCCGGCAGUUGGAUUUUUUAAAUCUCUUACUUCGGGGAGUAUUAGUCCUCAAGCACAAAUAUAGAUCUAAUGCUAAGAAAUGAAAAUAAGACUCUGUAAAUUGGGUUAAGCCGAAGCGCUUCAUAAUUUAACGGUAAUGCUGAACGCUCUAAAAUAGAUAUUCGAACACCAGUGAUGAAUAAACGAAAGAAAUUUUAAGAAAAAACAUUUAGCUUCAAAGAAUAGUUACAGUCUUAACUACACUACAAUAAUAACAAACACAAAGCAAUGCAUUUGGCCGUACAGACUAACAAAGCCGGCGUUUAAUGUAUGUUUUAUAUUUUAAAUCAUGAUAUAUAUGAAUUUACAAAUACAUUUCAAAUGAGGUACACAGAAAGAAUAAACAUCUGAAACAAGUUUACUCUGAAUCAAUAAGAGCCCAUAUCUCUAUGUAUGUAUGUAUGUAUGUUUAUAUCCGUCUUUAACGUAACCUCGCCGCCCAGGAAAAACCAUCAAAAUACUUUACUAAAGAAAAUUGAUAGGGAAACCUAUGUUCGGAGCAAGUGCAAGGCACGCCUCGGGACAUUGAUACCAAACUCCAUCACAAGAAAAAACAGCAACAUAAUAUACAAUAUCAAAUAUUAUGAAAUAUUGAAGUUUAGUGUUGAACGUCUGCGGCUAGAAUGAUUUUCAAACACCCGCUUUCACCUCAUUAACAUAAGAACACUUAUUGACACAAUCCAAAUGAUUGGUCCACGUAUCCACGUGUACCACUACACAUAACAAAACCCGCCAAAAACAUACCGUUCUUAUAAAAACGUUCCUUUCAGACAACAUUUUCCCGCAUUACUCCGAAACGCGGGGAAAAACAUUUCGUCUUAGGUUUAAACUGGUCGAACAUAUAUAAAAAUGGCAUAAUCAAAGUCUAUAUAUAAAUCCAAUGAAUGUUAAUAUGAUGAUUGUUGUCUAUUUUAGAAUAAAACAGUUCUUUAAACAUUGGAAUGUAUUUGACAGAUGAGGUUUUAAAACGUUUGUUUGUAAAACCAUCAUGUUUCCAUAUGAUGAAUGCAUAAACACGACGUCAUAAUUGAAAUUUGAAUGUAUUUCUUACAUAAUCUACACAUCAUCAUGGAAAGUUUCUCGAAUGAAAAAUUUAGAAACAAAACUAAUGAUACUGAAUGUCCUUAAGGUGGUAUUGGAGUCUAAGAUAAAAAUGAUAGAAUUUGUUCAUACUUUGCCAAAACGUAGAAUCUAUUGAUAUAUGUUGAAAAAUAUAAUAAUAAUGAUAGGUCACCGCGCAUUUUAUCAAGCUAAAGAACGUAACAAAUUGACACAUUUUGUAUGGAUUCUACAAGAAAAAACACCAUUUUGUGAUUAGAAACUAAACAAAAUGAUAGAAUUGUUAAAUACUUAAGGAAAAGAUAGCUUUCAGGCAAUGCUUUGAGAAUAUCAAAAGAAAAGAUAUUGUCACCGUACGUUUUUUUCGGUUAAAAUAAGAAAUAGGAAAAUUCCAUGUAGAAUCCUUCAGAAAAUGCACUGUUUAAGAGUUACCUCCUCUUAAAAUGUCAAUUUGAAUUUAUUUUUUUUAAACAACCAAAAAAAUCAACAUUUGCAAAAAUAUUAAUAUUCAUAAGUUAUAUUCUUAUAAAUUGGUUCUUUUAAAUGAAAAUUUACAUUAAAUAUCUGCAUUCGUGCAUCAUAUUUUGCUUACUUGACAGAAAAUGUUGACCUUUGGUUCUCUGUUUUUUACAAUCAAAGAUGGAGGAAGACACCCAUACCACCUUCAACUGUUUUUUUUUUAUAACUUAUUUAUACACACGGAUAUAAAUCAGAAAAUUAUUUGUUUCCAGGUGUUAAAUGCUGGCAAUCUUAUCUUUCUUAUACAAUGGUGGGGUUCGGAUUCACUAUUUUGACCGUUUCAAUUAUAUACAUCAUCAGUAUAUGGUGCUGCUUCUGUUUUCUAAAUGAAGGUAAGGUCAACGUUUGUCAAGUUAAAAAUAGAAAAUAUGAUUAUAUUAUUCACUUUAGAUACUGAAAUUGGUAGAAUAUUACAUUUAUUUAUGAAUGUCAACUUUACACAUGUUGCACUAUCAAACGAUUCAAUAUAUACAACAAUAACCAUAUCUUUUUUAACUUAGUGAUGCAUUUUAUUGCCUUGUUAUUUUUUUAUACCUUUCAUUUUCAUUUUUCAGACAAUUGGUGUAAUUCUGUAGAACGUUACAUGAGACGUACGUGUAACGGAUCUGAUAAAGGCUACACACAUACAAUUAUAGGUAUUUAGUGUUGUAUUUUUAAUAACACAUAUGAUUAAAAAUUAUAAUGACAAAACUCUAAUUUCAAAGAAAAAAAGGGGAGAAAAAGAAGAAUAGGCAAAACAAUAAUAUAGAUAUAUUGCAAUAAAGCAAUGAAAACUAGCUUAUAUAAAGUUAUUGCAAAAUAUACUAAUACUUAUGCAUGAAAUUGUGUAAUGAUAUUUGUUAUCAAGACAAAUAUAUGAAAACAUGCAUUUUGCCAAAAUUGAAACAACAAAUAGAUUUACAAUCUAAAUUUUAUUAUAAUCGGUUCUGAAAAUAGAUUGAUUGAAAGCACAACUUUAAUUUACAAAAAAACACAUAGGUCUAUGAAGUAUUUAAUAACAUCUAUAAUGCAUUCCACUAUAAUCCACUGUUGACAAAUAAAACAUUCUCUCACUCGAACGGGUAUGUCGUCGACUUUUUUUUAUUUAUAACCACAAACCCUACCAUAUCCACAGAUGAAUGGGUUCUUUAAACUAUUCUAAACGGAUUAGGCGAUUGAUUAGUAAAAAAUUGCGUUUGUUAAAUUAUAUACUGCGCUUAUUCAUCAUGUAUAUAAUGAUUAAUAACCAAUGAAGGUUCAUCUUAUGCAUUUUGUUUGAUGAUAAAAAAAAAUGCUGGUAUUACUUUUUUUCUGUGGUUUUAAGACAUACAAAAAGAAAGUUUGUGUCUGGUUCAUUUUUUUUUUAAAGAAUGUGAUGCGUCCAUGAGGUAUUUAAUAACAUCUAUAAUGCAUUCCACUAUAAUCCACUGAUGACAAAUAAAACAGGUUUUUUUUAAUUUUCUCUCACCCGAACGGGCAUUUCGUUGACUUUUUUACCUAGGUUUCAGAUAAAAUUUAUAAAGUGGUUCCGAUUUACCAACAUCAUUUCAAGUUUAAAGAAAACAAAUUUAUAUUAAUUAUUGAACAGAUAUGUAUAUAUAUAUAUAUAUAUAUAAUAAAAGAGUCUUCAAAUCUCAUCUAUUGCACAUUUAUAAUCCUUAUGCUCAUGAUGCUUAGAAUUACGCAACCACAAUUCAAUAAAUUAUUCAAAUAAUAUCUUUUCGUUUUGUUUCGGUUUUCUUUUUAGAUAGUGUAAGAAUAGGAGUGUUUUUGAUUCUAUUUAUUAUUCUGUUGGUGAUCCCAGUUGUAAAAGGUCUUCAGGAUGACAAUAGCUGUCGGGGUAAACUAUAAUUCUAGUUUAAAUAAACAAUAUAAAAUUGGUGUAAUUAUUUGCUGAACAUUUGAAAGUAUUAUAUACCAUCUAUGUUCUUGAAACCUUUUCAAAGUGCAAAAAUGAUUUCUGAGUAUUGGGUUUAAUACUAAUUACAACACUGAAGUUAAAAACUUUGAAUCUCUUAAUUAUUUAGAAAUCUUGAUACUUAAUUUACAAAAACUUAGCCUUGUCUUUCAAAUCUGCGUUUUUACUUCGUUUGCAACUUUACCCGCACACAUAAUAUAAGGAAACCGGUAUGAAAAGAAUAUAUUCUUUCAUAUUCUAUUAUAUUCAAAUGUUAAAGGGGCACUAGCUGUGAAAUUCAUGGUCACUGAUUUGACCCAAAUUCUCAUGUUUGAUUUAUAACAAUGUAAAACAUUUAUCCAAACCAUCAAAAGUCCAAAAUGAACAGUUUACAGAGCAUGGGGUCGAUAAUAUGUAGGUUCGUUUCGUGUGUAUUUUAGUCAAUAUAAGCGAUGUAAAAAUAAACAAAGAUAUAUGAAUGGAUUAAGUUAACACGUGCAAUUGGAUUUUUAUGCGCCUGUAUGAUUUUAUGUUAUAGAUUAAAAAAUAUGUUUCUCAUUGUUUUUACCCGUAUAAAAAUGAUUUCACGUGAAAACAAUCAGUUAUCAAAUGAUUUACCUUUGUUUCACUUUCAUUGUUGACAUUCUGUCCUUUAAAUAAACAGUUCACGUACAAUGCAUGCGUUGUCAAUCCCUAGCUAGAUGUUAAAUUGAAGUUCACAUGAAUACGGAUUUAAUGAGGUCGAAUUUUUCACUUGCAAGUGAAAAAUGAAUUAUCAAUGUUUCUUAGCUUUAUUUGACAAAAGUGAACCAUUUGGGCUCAUAAAAGCGAACUAUUAUUUCACUAUUUCUCUUUCAUUAUUGAUUGAACCAACAAACAUCUUACUUUAGAUUUUUUAUAUAUCUCGUAGCUAGUGCCCCUUUAAUAUAUAUGUAUGAAAAUAAAAAUAAUCAAAAUGCCUCUUAAUGGCACCAUAUGCAUGUGCAUUAAGUGCCUCAAAUAUUUGAUAGCGCUAUCGAAAACCCUCCGAAAUCGUUAUGAAUGAAUCAUAGAAGAAUAUCCUAAAUAUUUUGAGAGAUUCGUACCUAAUUUUUUUUGGUCACCUGCGAGAUGUGCUAGAAGAAGUUAUAGGCGAUACAAUGUGUGAUAGAUUAGACAAAUUAUAUAUGCUUUGGUUAAACAAAACCAAAAUGAUUCGUAACGCACAUUUUGAUAGUUCUUUAAUAGUUAAGUGUUAUCUAAUCGUUGUUUUUUUUUUAUUUAAGGAACUUGAAAUCAAUACAUGUAUGACAUUUAUGGCAGAUUUGUAACGAACGCGUUUUACUGAGAAAUUGAAAUUCGAAUACAUUGAAGCUAUGUCGAUUGUUUAUUUUUGACCUAUUUUCCGUUUUUUGUUAACCUGAUUUUUCUAAUCGGUGAUAUUUUAGUGUAUAUGUGUUAAACAAGUGUUAAAAACUAAUCCUAAAUAUUUGCACAGUAAUUUUUCUUCUAAUAAAUAGAUUGGUAUAUGUUAUUUUAGGUGAGGAAUUAUAUUUGACCUUAGGCAGCUUCUUAGCCUUCAUAUUUAUAAUACCAACUAUAAGAUUGACAAAAGGUACAUUAUAGAUUCUUAUUUAUUUUGUUUGUUGUUAUAGAUUAAAUUCAACUAACAUGACUAUCCAAAAGUUACAUAAAUUCCUUUGUGAACUGUGAUGCAUACUUUGUAAAGAAUAGCGUUGCCGCAAUUAUCUUGAUUAAUAGUUUUAAUGGACCAAAUCAUAUUCCCCCCCGAAUCUGACCUUUUGAAGAACACGUAUCACGAGCAGCACAACGGAUAACUCAUGUUGAUCAUGGUCUGCCUUUCCCUCUUUAGCAUAUGUUUGUUUUCUUCACAUAACGUUAUUAUUUUGUUUUCCACGUAAGAGUUUGAAUGUACGUUAAGUAUUUCUCGUUUUUGUCUUAUCGGGGAAUAGUGUUACCGGUAAAGAAGUAUUUAGGCUUUACCAUUGUUUAUCUGACUUCAAUUAUUAACUAGUUAUAGUUUUAUCUAAACAUUAGCAAGAAAUAUUAUACCAUUUGGCAAUUAGCUAGUAUACUGACUUUCGAAAUCUUUAGAUUUUUGGUGUUUUACGCAAAUUUUAAGCACCGCAUUUAGGCUAUUUCGUGGCGGCCAGUUUUUAUUGGUGGAGGAAGCUGAAGUAACGGGAGAAAUCCACCGACCUUCGAUAGGAAAUCUCACAUUCCUAGUCAAAUAAGAUUCGAGUCGAGUGCACCCACACGAGCGGGGUUCGAACUCACAACCUCAGUGUUGACUGGCUAGUGAUUACAAUAGUAACUACUUAGACCACUCGGCCACCGAGGCCCCUCGAAAUCUUUAGAAGGACGAAUAGAAAAUUAUAUUGUGAAUGCAAGGUGGAAGUCAUUUAUGUUCAUGAUUUACGCACCGAAUUAGUUCAAAGUAUCUGAAACUAAUACGAAAUCAUAAGUAGCACUAACCACAGAUGAAGCAAUGAGAGGGUUUAAAUGCAUAGGCGGAUCCAGGGGGUGCCUUAGGGGCCCGGGUCCCCCUUUCGUGGAACCAUUUUUGUUGAUUAUUUAGGGAAUCACUGAAGCAUAAUUGAAGCGGGCCCCUCCCCCUUGAGGUCAGUCAGCGACCUCCCCCCCCCUAAAUGAAAUGUUCUGGAUCCGCCACUGCAAUUUGAUGACACAAAAAAGACGGUUUUAAGAUUUCAUACUCCAUAACUUCAAACGUCUUCAAAAACAUUGUUAUCCGUAUGUAUUGAUAGUUUUUUUUAUAACUUCUUCUUCUUCUUCUUCUUCUUCUUCUUCUUCUUCUUCUUCUUUUUCUUCUUCUUCUUCUUCUUCUUCUUUUUCUUCUUCUUUUUCUUCUUCUUCUUCUUCUUCUUCUUCUUCUUCUUUUAAUAAUAAUACUUAUUAUUAUUAUUAUUAUUAUUAUUAUUAUUAUUAUUAUUAUUAUUAUUAUUAUUAUUAUUAUUAUUUCUUCCUAAUAGUAAACGAAGAAGGUGGUGACAAAUCAGCACAUUCAAUGGAAGAACAAGAUCUAAGUAUAUAUAAACAUCUUAUUGCAUGUUAUAUAAGUUGUAUUUAUAAUCUAAUUGAUCACAAAAAUAGUAAUCAUGAUAAUGUCUUAGUGUAAACAAAAGCCGAUGAUUAUGUAAAGAAAGAAUUUAAUCAUAAUGAGAAUAUAAUCAUUUUUUGCCCACUGUAUGAUGAUAUUAGGGACAGUUGUUUUAAUGCAUUAAAUUGUUUAAAUAUUGAUGGUUUUAAUAAUUUUUCUAGAAAAGAGAAGCAAUCUGUGAUUCUAGGUGGUGGUGAGACGUUUAUAAAAUAUUGUAUUGUAUUUCAUUUUCUAUGUUCUUGCAUGAUUCUUUCAUAAUCAUAUGUGUCGAUGGUACUUAAUGAAAACAUAAUUUUUCACAAAAUAAAUAAUGAAAAACAGGCAAACAUAAAGAAACAACAAAAUCAUAAUCCAACUUAUAAAACCUAUCUGAAAAAAGAAGAAACUGGAAUAAUAAAAAACUCAAUAGUUAUGGAUAUGUUCUUUUUAUAUUUUUUUUUAUCAUAGAUGAAGAUUAGUGUGUUCCUGACACAGAGCAUCCCUAAAAGGAAACGAAAGAAGACAGUUAAUUGAAAAUAUUCAGACAACUUCUGAGUAAAAUAUUCACGAUAUAUUAUACUGUAAAUUGUAAAACGAAGGAUAUGUGUUGUUUGUUUUUAUUUUUCAUGGUUAAUUGCAUUGUUUCUGACACCGAUUAUACCCAGACGGCAAAGGCAAAAGUUUAAAGAAAAAUAUUAGACAGUUUAUCAAGUACAAUAUUCAUGAUUUUCUUCGUGAAACGAAAGUUGGAAUGAUGGAAUGUAAACAAAACUUGUCUGAUAAUUGAGUGAUUUGAUAUUU